UCCUAUCUGAGACAUUCCCCUGGUGGUAGAGGAAAAUGAAAUAUGGUAGAAUCAUUCCAUUGCUCUGAAAGCUUCUGUUCAGAAGUGGGAUAUGUCAUUUGCUUACAUUUCAUUGGCUAAAGCAAGUCACAUUGCCAAGCCUGACAUCAAUUGGGCAGGAAUAUAUAAACUCACCAGGGAGAGGCAGUGAAUAUUUUGAAUAAUAAGGAAUCUAUUUACAUGCAUCAAAUUUUAUUUCUUUGGUUUUGGGAUUACUCUGUAGCUAUUGGUGGCCAUGUUUCUAGUGACUCAAAGUAACCUGAGGGAAUGAAGUUAGUAAUGUACAGAGAAAUGAGAGGCCAGAAAAUGUCCUGGAAGCUUAGUCUCUGUACUCCCUUGUGCUACCCUGGUUCCUAAAAUUUUCUUAAGUGAAGAGUGCCAUGAUUGGAUUUGCAUUUUAGGUUACUUUGGAUGCAGUAUGGAGAAUGGAGAGAAUGCAUCAGAUUAGAAGCAGAAAGAACAGUUAGUUCCUUAUGAAGAAAGAAUGAUCAAAAGGAACUGUACUCCAGUAGCAGUACCUGAUGAACUGCAUCUAAGGAACCUCAAUCACACUUGGACCUGAAUUAGAUAUCAAGAUUCUGGACAUCAAGCUGAUGCCAUAAUGAGAUGAGACUUUUGAAGGUCUUAGGAGAGGUGACCUGCUUGACCAAUUGAGUGACUUUCUGGGACUUCUGAGGCUUGGUCAUAAGAAGCCUUGCAGCUCUGCCUGUGCCUCUUGGAAUUCUCUCUUUUGGAAUACUCACUCUCAGAACCUAGCCACCGUGCUAUGAGAAGUCCAAGCCAGUUGGAGAGGACCCAUGUAGGCACUGAUUGAUAGCCCCAAUGAGCUACCAGCAAACAGCCAGCAUCAACUGUCAGUUAUGUGAGUGAAGGAACCAUGUUGGACAGUCCAGCUCUAGCAAACACCACCUGGAGAAGAACUGAGGUCUCAGACACAUAGCUCCUGUUGAGACAUCCUAGUCAUCUUCAUCUAUUCAAGUCAUCAUCACAUUUGUGGUCCCAGGCAUUGUGGAUCAGAGACACAAGGUCUCUGCUCUGCCCUGCUAAGAUUUCUGGCCCAAAGAAUCAUGACAAUAAUAAAAUGAUCAUUGUUUGCCACUAACUUUUGGGGUAAUUUUUUUUAAUCUUCACUGGAGGAGUGAGAAUAUUUUUUCCAUUGAUUUUUUUUUU